rnacentral:lncRNA from 1 species
GGAGCUCGAUUCAUCCCAAUUUUUGUUCUUCUUCUUGCGUUCAAAGCAAGUAGUUCCAUUCUUUUUACUUUUUAAUUUUUGUUUCAUUUGUAGUUUAAGUUCACCAUCACUUGAGCUUAUGCUCGAGUGGUCUUCAAAUGUUCUAUGUCCCAAAUCCUUCCUGUUCUUUGGAAGGUGGUUCUCAAGUUCUUCACGUGCAUUGCACGUCAUUUCAUAUGUGAUCAAUGAACCAAUUAGUUCUUCAAGUGGAAAUUGGUUCAAGUUUUUCGAUUCUUGAAUAGCAGUUACUUUUGAAUCCCA